UUUAUUUCCUCAGUAUCUUGCCUCCCACACUUAGAUUGCAAGGUUUAUAAUUUGGAUCAAGACUGUUCUGUUUACUAGUAUCUAUCUAGCACAUGAGGAGUAAUCUGCUGUAAGAUUGAUCAAACCAUGAAAUGUAUCACAGUGAAUAGGACUCCAAGUAGAAGAGAGGAGGAGGCUCUGACUUUUAUCGAUGAAGCCUGAAUGAUGUGCCUCUCCCUAGGG
rnacentral:lncRNA from 1 species